rnacentral:rRNA from 1 species
UACGGAGGGUGCAAGCGUUAUCCGGAUUCACUGGGUUUAAAGGGUGCGUAGGAGGACAGGUAAGUCAGUGGUGAAAUCUCCGAGCUUAACUUGGAACUGCCGUUGAUACUAUCUGCCUUGAAUAUUGUGGAGGUGAGCGGAAUAUGUCAUGUAGCGGUGAAAUGCUUAGAUAUGACAUAGAACACCAAUUGCGAAGGCAGCUCGCUACACAUAUAUUGACUCUGAGGCACGAAAGCGUGGGGAUCAAACAGG